rnacentral:rRNA from 1 species
ACAGAGGGUGCAAACGUUGUUCGGAAUUACUGGGCGUAAAGCGUGCGUAGGCGGCCGCGCAAGUCGGAUGUGAAAGCCCUGGGCUCAACUCAGGAAGUGCACCCGAUACUGCGUGGCUCGAGUACCGGAGAGGUUGGUGGAAUUCUCGGUGUAGAGGUGAAACUCGUAGAUAUCGAGAGGAACACCUGUGGCGAAGGCGGCCAACUGGACGAGCACUGACGCUGAGACACGAAAGCGUGGGGAGCAAACA